rnacentral:sRNA from 19 species
GUCAACCACCCACCGCCUAUAGAGGCGGGGUCUUGUAGAAAUGCAAGCUCGGUUGAUUAGCCUAUGUCAUUAGCUUUUGCUAAUGAUUAGUUAUAGCAGAAUAUAUAGUCACCGUGGGAUGCUCCACAAGUCCCAUGCUCUGAG